CCGUCAAAUACAGAACUCUGAAAUCUAAAUCUAUGAUUUUCCGGUAACCACCGACGAUGCCCCAUGUAAGAAAACUUCUUCCCAUUGUACAACCAUUGCGAACAUGUUUGUGCAGCACAAUAAGGACACGUAUAACGACCCUUGGUACUCCAACCGGAUAAAUUGGCAUAAGCGGGAAAGUCAUUAAUGGUCCACAUCAAAGCCGCACGUAAAUUAAAGUUCUCCUUUCUCACCACAUCGUAUGUCUCGACACCAGCCCAUAAUUGUUUUAACUCUUCAAUAAGUGGCUGUAAAUAAAUGUCGAUAUCAUUCCCUGGCCCUUUCUCACCAGGGAUAAUC
rnacentral:lncRNA from 1 species